UAUGUUGGGCCAUGAAGUCUACACAGCCACAUCCUUCAAAUUCAGGGAAAUGAAGGACGCAUUUGUGGGCCACAUUUCGAGCAGCCUUUGAAUUGAAACUUAAAAUGCGGCCUUUAAGGCUGCAGACCCUGAAUUGGGAUACAGCCCCUGUUGCUCUCCCCUGUCUGUGUUCUCUGUCAAAUCCCUGUGUGAAGCCAUGUCUCUGAGUCUGUCUCUGUGAUUUUGUGUUUCCUGCUUUACUUUCAAGGUCUUUGUCUCAUGUCAGUGUUUUCAGUUUUGCUUCCUUGGUCUCGUUAGCCCUGAUGUCUCCCACCAGUGUUCACCUCCUGCCUCUCAUUCCCCUCGUUAUGUCCUGUGUAUUUUAGCCCUGUAUUUUCUGUGCUCCCUGUCGCGUCGUAAACGGCACUAAUCCUGUGCUGUGUGUCUCCCCGUGGAUUAGUUUUGUAUUGCCUUUUAUUUUCCAACCAGCAAUAAAGCUGCCGUUUUUGAGUUUCACUCCAGUCUUCCGAGAGUCUGCAUUUUGGGUCCUUUUCCUCGUUCCUGCCUGCACACAGCUGAACUAUGACAUUUAGCACUAUGGGGGCGCUAAUGUACAUCUACGCUGGUUGCCAACCACCAUGAACAUUUAAAGAGCAGAAGAAGAAGAGGACACUAAAGAGUUCAGGUGCACAACAUGAGGAUUUAAUGAGACAGCUUUUAUCUUACUGCUUUCGUGGAAGAUCAGGGGAUGGCGGCAACAAGGCCACGGAGAGCUAAAAUAAAUCCCAGACAAGAUGCUAGGUAUUACUGCUCCUUAGGUGAAGACAAGGCAGGAUUUGAUGUGAGGUAUAUUGAUUCAUUUAAAGGUCGCGGUGUGUUCAGCUGUCGGUCAUUUCAAAAGGGAGAUUUUCUUUUGAGUACAGAGGACAAAUCAUAACUAAAGAGGAACAAGAAAACCGAAUGAAACUUUACCAUGAUGCACUCAAGGUUUUCAUAUUUGAUUUCAAGUUCAAUGGAAAACAGUUAUGUGUUGAUGCUGCCAGAGAGGACGGCUCACUUGGCAGACUUGUAAAUGACGAUAAUGUGAAUCCAAACAGUAAAAUGACAGUUAGUAGAAG